rnacentral:rRNA from 1 species
UUUUUACGGGAGGGCAGCAGUGGGGGAAUUUUGGACAAUGGGGGCCAACCCUGAUCCAGCAAUGCCGCGUGUGUGAAGAAGGCCUUCGGGUUUGUAAAGCACUUUUGUCCGGAAAGAAAACCUCCGCCCUAAUACGGUGGGGGGAUGACGGUACCGGAAGAAUAAGCACCGGCUAACUACGUGCCAGCAGCCGCGGUAAUACGUAGGGUGCAAGCGUUAAUCGGAAUUACUGGGCGUAAAGCGUGCGCAGGCGGUCCGCUAAGACAGAUGUGAAAUCCCCGGGCUUAACCUGGGAACUGCAUUUGUGACUGGCGGGCUAGAGUAUGGCAGAGGGGGGUAGAAUUCCACGUGUAGCAGUGAAAUGCGUAGAGAUGUGGAGGAAUACCGAUGGCGAAGGCAGCCCCCUGGGCCAAUACUGACGCUCAUGCACGAAAGCGUGGGGAGCAAACAGGAUUAGAUACCCUGGUAGUCCACGCCCUAAACGAUGUCAACUAGUUGUCGGGGAUUCAUUUCCUUAGUAACAAAGCUAGACGCUCCAACAGACCUUACGUUAACGGGGGGCGCAGCAAG